rnacentral:snRNA from 1 species
AUCUUUCUGCAUGGACAGGAUCUACGGUCACUGAGGUAACAACCGAGACGUAGACUUUUGCUUAUCGCAAACUAAACGAACCACAACGUCUGAUUCUAUUUCUUUUGAAACAUGAUUCAGCAAUUUUUCUCCUUGUGAUUCCUUG